rnacentral:lncRNA from 1 species
GUUGUAUUGUAAUUCUGAGAUCAAUCAGCAUACAUGUAUAGUUGUAGAUGUUCCUGAUGUUUUAGUGUUCAUAGUGUACUGCAAGUAAUUUCUCAUUGUGAGCUCUGUAGAGUCUGACAAUAAACUAAGUGUAUAUACAUAUGCCUAGAAGCAAGAAACAACCUAAGACAAAACUCUAUAAGAUAAACCAAGUAUGUGCACAGCUUAAAAAUGAUGCCAUAUAUUCUACUAUAAGGCAUAACAGGUUACUGAGUACUGUAAAGACUCUGCUUAGUAUCAUCCUAUGCAUUGACAUAUACCCCAUAUUUGCAAGGGAGUGCAGCUUCUCAUAUACCAAUUUCUACAUUUACAUGUAUGGAUAAUUUGACGACGGAUCUUACCACUAGUAUAGUAAUAAGAAAGGUGAUGUCGACUUACUAUUUUGAUUCUCGAUUAUAUCACUCCCUAAUGUAAUAAUUAGACAAAACUAAAGUAGUUAAUAAUUUCUAUUAAUAAAAAACAUAAUAUCAAAAUAUUUACAUACACAAUAAAUCACUCAAAAUUACUCUAAUCAGAAAGAUUAUACUAUAUUACAUAACUUCUUAAUACAAAAUAACUAAAAACUUAUACUUGAUUUGGGUUUGGGGCAGACUCAGCAUUUUCUAAAUUACUGACAUAAUUAAACUCGGUGUAGCAGCUAUUGGAAAGCUUUUAGAACAUAAGAGUAAGUGUUUACUCACUGUAAAUGCUGUAGCUUAGGCUACAAGAGCCGGAAUAACAAUGUCAGUAAUGCACAUGGAAGUAAUGCUCAACUCGGUGUAGCGGUCAACUCGGUGUAGUUAGCUACAAGAGCCGGAAGCAAUGUUAGAUGCUACUCGGUGUACCCAGAACUACAAGAGCCGGAAGACAAGUGUGCUACAAGAGCCGGAAGAGCAUUACUUCAAAUUGAUGUGGAUGAAGAUAGCAAAACUGCUAGACAAAUUUAAUAGCCCAUUCAAAUAUUAAUGUACAUGUACUGUACAUGGAAACAAAUGAAAACUACAGAAUUUUGGGGAAUUAAUGAAUUAUGUAUUCCCAUUACCAGAUUAAUUAAUUAAUACGGCCAUAAAUCAGAUUGAAUACAUGAAAUGUAUGCGGUCUGAGUGCCCCAAAAUUAAGUAAAAGUUAUAACAACCAAAGAUAUAAAUCAAAACAAUACAUUUAUAUACAUGCAAUCUUAUCAUUGUUAAUACAUGUAUCAUACUACACUACAUAAGUCCUAAUUAUUCCUAAACCUAAAUGACGACAGACAUAGAAGUGAUCCUAGAUCGAUCCGCAAUAUAGUAUACUGUAAAACUAGUACAAU